rnacentral:rRNA from 1 species
CCUACGGGGGGCAGCAGUGGGGAAUAUUGGACAAUGGGCGAAAGCCUGAUCCAGCCAUGCCGCGUGUGUGAAGAAGGCCUUCGGGUUGUAAAGCACUUUCAGUGGGGAAGAAAGCCUUGGGGCUAAUACCCUCGAGGAAGGACAUCACCCACAGAAGAAGCACCGGCUAACUCCGUGCCAGCAGCCGCGGUAAUACGGAGGGUGCGAGCGUUAAUCGGAAUUACUGGGCGUAAAGCGCGCGUAGGCGGUCUGAUAAGCCGGUUGUGAAAGCCCCGGGCUCAACCUGGGAACGGCAUCCGGAACUGUCAGGCUAGAGUGCAGGAGAGGAAGGUAGAGUUCCCGGUGUAGCGGUGAAAUGCGUAGAGAUCGGGAGGAAUACCAGUGGCGAAGGCGGCCUUCUGGACUGACACUGACGCUGAGGUGCGAAAGCGUGGGUAGCAAACAGGAUUAGAUACCCUUGUAGUC